rnacentral:rRNA from 1 species
GACCCGCACAAGCGGUGGAUGAUGUGGAUUAAUUCGAUGCAACGCGAAGAACCUUACCUACCCUUGACAUGCCAGGAACUCUGCUGAGAGGUAGAGGUGCCCGAAAGGGAGCCUGGACACAGGUGCUGCAUGGCUGUCGUCAGCUCGUGUCGUGAGAUGUUGGGUUAAGUCCCGCAACGAGCGCAACCCUUGCCACUAGUUGCUACGGAAACGGGCACUCUAGUGGGACUGCCGGUGACAAACCGGAGGAAGGUGGGGAUGACGUCAAGUCCUCAUGGCCCUUAUGGGUAGGGCUUCACACGUCAUACAAUGGCGCAUACAGAGGGUAGCCAACCCGCGAGGGGGAGCCAAUCUCAGAAAGUGCGUCGUAGUCCGGAUUGCAGUCUGCAACUCGACUGCAUGAAGUCGGAAUCGCUAGUAAUCGCGGAUCAGCAAUGUCGCGGUGAAUACGUUCCCGGGUCUUGUACACACCGCCCGUCACACCAUGGGAGUGGGUUUCACCAGAAGCAGGUAGCUUAACCCGCAA